rnacentral:pre_miRNA from 1 species
AAUGGAAUUUCUGGGCCAUAUGGUAACUACAUUUAACUUUUCAAGGAACUGCCAAACUGUUUUCCAAAGCAGCUGCACCAUUUACAUUCCCAUCAGCAAU